GAGUAGUAACAGAAAUAAUCUUGAAACUUAAAAAAUUUGGCGGUAUUUUAUCUUAUCAGAGGAACCUAUUUAAUAAUCGAUAUUCCACGAUUUUUUUUACUUUUAUUAUUUUACUUGUAUACCGUUGUCAUGAGUAUAUUUAAAAAUAAAUUUUCUCUAAUUUUAUUUAUUUUAUGUUAGAUCAAGGUGCAGUAUAUAAAGAUUAAAACGGGUUACUUUAUUUAUAAUGAAUGAAUUAAAAUGGUAGGUUAAUUAAAAUUGGAUUUGAAAGUAAACUUAUAAAGAAAAUAUUAUGAAUAAAGAUUCUAAAAUAUG
rnacentral:rRNA from 1 species